AUUGAACGCUGGCGGCAGGCCUAACACAUGCAAGUCGAGCGAGCGGCGGACGGGUGAGUAAUGUCUGGGAAACUGCCUGAUGGAGGGGGAUAACUACAGGAAACGGUAGCUAAUACCGCAUACCAUCAGAUGUGCCCAGAUGGGAUUAGAUAGUAGGGGGGGUAACGGCUCCCCUAGGCGACAGUCCCUAGCUGGUCUGAGAGGAUGACCAGCCACACUGUAACUGAGACACGGUCCAGACUCCUACGGGAGGCAGCAGUGGGGAAGAGUGCACAAUGGGCGCAAGCCUGAUGCAGCCAUGCCGCGUGUAUGAAGAAGGCCUGCGGGUUGUAAAGUACUUUCAGCGGGGAGGCGUUACCCGCAGAAGAAGCACCGGCUAACUCCGUGCCAGCAGCCGCGGUAAUUC
rnacentral:rRNA from 1 species